rnacentral:snoRNA from 1 species
GAGCUGUGAAGACACAAAAUCAUACUGAUGUAUCUCUGAAGAUUAUCAGAUCCAACUCUGAGCUCACUGUUCUU